rnacentral:rRNA from 1 species
UACAGAGGUCUCAAGCGUUGUUCGGAUUCAUUGGGCGUAAAGGGUGCGUAGGUGGCGCGCUAAGUCGGGUGUGAAAUUUCGAGGCUUAACCUCGAAACUGCAUUCGAUACUGGCGUGCUUGAGGACUGGAGAGGAGACUGGAAUUCAUGGUGUAGCAGUGAAAUGCGUAGAGAUCAUGAGGAAGACCAGUGGCGAAGGCGGGUCUCUGGAACGGUACUGACGCUGAGACGCGAAAGCGUGGGGAGCGAACAGG